rnacentral:rRNA from 1 species
ACUGGUAUGACGGUUAUACAAAAGGUUUAUUUUUUUUAAGGUAAAUGUAAUUUAUAUUGUAAGUAAAAAUACUUAAGCGGGACUAAGGGGCGAUAAGACCCUAAAAGGUUACUUAAAUUAUUUUGUGUUAGGGAAUAAUGGUUAGCUGGGGCAGUGAUUUGUAGUAAUACAAUAUUUGAGAGUAUUUAAAUAAAAGGGAGUGGUCCUUAUUAUUAGGAGAAGUAGGGUAAGCUACUUUAGGGUUAACAGGGUAAUAUUUUUGGGGAGGUCCUAUUUAUAAAAAUGAUUGCUACCUCGAUGUUGAAUUAAAGAAAUCUAAUAAGCAGAAAGAUUGGGGUUAGGUUUGUUCAACCUAUAGUUUUUUACAUGAUUU